CAGGCUCAGACUGAAACGGUUAAACAUCAUUGCUUGUUAAUACAUUUGUGAAUACUACUGGUGUACAAUGCCUCUAUAUACCUGAGCACACUUGUCGUCUAGGUAUUAAAUGUGUCAUAUGUUUGGUUUUACGGUGUAGCUUUUGGACUGCAGUGUGAGAUGCUGGCAAUAUAACGUUUCAGAGAAGUGUGAAUGCUUGACUACACUCUACUGCAUCGAAGGAAAUGUCAGCGUGAGCACUGCUGUAAUUGGGAAUUCUGAAUCGGGUUCAACUUUUAGUAAAAGCGGAAUGACACUUUUGAGAGAUGUAUUUCAUAACCGGUGACUAAACUAGCGUAAGUUUGGUUUUUGUUUUGUGUUUCUGUUUGCUGUUUGUCAUCUGUAUUUGCUUUAUGUCCUUUUGCCUAUAUGGUGUCUUUGAAUAUAAUAAGAUGAAAAAUAA